rnacentral:lncRNA from 1 species
UAGCGGGCGGGAGAGAGUCCUCUCCUGCCCCACUCAUUGCCUAACUACCUGUAACAGGUGUAUGGGUGCGUGCUCCCUGUAAUGGAACGGUGUCCUCUUCAGGACUGGGUCCCAUCUGGCACUUUGAGCUACCAGGACCGGCUUUGGCUACUCGCGAUCGUAAACUAGAAUAAAUGGAAAUGUGCAGUGGUCUGGCUCACAGGGAUAUCCACAAGCCAGACCCAGAAAGCCUUUGCUACCACUGAUGAAGAUGCGAAGUCCACAGCCCUCCAGCCAGAAGGCCCUUGGUCUAGCCCUUGGAUUCAGACUGAAUUGACAUCGCCAGGUUUCCUGUAUUUUCAGCUUGCAGGCAGCUGACUGUGGGACUUCUCAGCCUCCUUAAUCAUGUGAGCAAAUUUCACUUAAUAUUGUAAAGAUUGCUUUAGUCAGCUGGCCAGGUUCUUAAAUUCUUGAAAGUAAAAGUGAUGGCAGGAGUUGACACUGAAG